GUGGGGAAUAUUGGACAAUGGGGGGAACCCUGAUCCAGCCAUGCCGCGUGUGUGAAGAAGGUCUUCGGAUUGUAAAGCACUUUAAGUUGGGAGGAAGGGUAGUAACCUAAUACGUUGCUACUUUGACGUUACCGACAGAAUAAGCCCCGGCUAACUUCGUGCCAGCAGCCGCGGUAAUACGAAGGGGGCGAGCGUUAUUCGGAAUCACUGGGCGUAAAGCGUGCGUAGGCGGUUUUGUAAGUUAGGAGUGAAAGCCCAGGGCUCAACCUUGGAAUUGCUCUUAAAACUGCAAGGCUCGAAUCUCGGAGAGGAUAGCGGAAUUUCCAGUGUAGCAGUGAAAUGCGUAGAUAUUGGAAGGAACACCAGUGGCGUAAGCGGCUAUCUGGACGAGUAUUGACGCUGAGGCACGAAAGCGUGGGGAUCAAACAGGAUUAGAUACCCCUGUAGUCC
rnacentral:rRNA from 1 species